rnacentral:tRNA from 1 species
GAGCGCUAUUGGUCUUCGGGUCGGCCUUUUAAUCAGUAGGUCGCUGGUUCGAAUCCAGCAGGGCUCACCA